AGUUAUAAAUAUAGCCUAACACCUUUUACCCAACAAAAUAAACCAAACCAUUUACUUAUGCUAGUAUGGGUGACAGAAAACCUAUUUGCGCAAUAAAUUUAAUAGUACUGUAAAGGAAAAAUGAAAUAGAAAUUAAAUAAUCAUUAAAAUAUAAUAAAGCAAGGAAUAAUGCCUUUACCUUUUGCAUUAUGGUCUAGCAAGUCAAACCUUUCAAAAAGAACUUUGUAAGACACCCCGAAACCAAACGAGCUACCCCAAGGCAAUCUUAUAAUCCAUCUCUGUAGCAAAAGAGUGGACUGACCUUGUGGUAGAGGCAAAAAACCUAACGAGCUUGGAUAUAGCUGGUUGCUUGAGAAAGAAUUUAAGUUCACACAAAAGCAUUUCUACCAUAAAGGAAACAUCUUUUAAGAUAAUUAACUGAGUUACAGCCCAGUUAAUAAAGGAGACAACCUACAUAAAUGAAUAAGGAUCUAUUUACAAAAGAUUGAACCCAGUAGGCCUAAAAGCAGCCAUCUAAUAAUAGCGUCAAAGCUUUACUCAAAAUUAUUAGUUAUUCCAUUAAACGAUCUUAAUUCAACAAAACAAUCAAGCUAAUCUAUUUUUAGAUGAACUACUACUAGAAUUAGUAAUAAGAACUUAUUCUCUAUGAUACAAGUGUACAUCAGAACGAACUAAUCACUGAUAAUUAAUGAAAGUAUUUACCAACACAAGUACCUAAUAACCUUUAACAUUUACCCAACACAGGUGUAUUUUAGAAAGAUUUUUAGCCUAGAAAGGAACUCGGCAAACUCAGGCUUCGCCUGUUUACCAAAAACAUCGCCUUUUGUAAUACACAUAUAAAAGGUCCUGCCUGCCCAAUGACUUGUUUUAAUGGCCGCGGUAUUGUGACCGUGCAAAGGUAGCGUAAUCAUUUGUCUUUUAAAUAAAGACCAGUAUGAACGGCAAAACGAAAGCCUCACUGUCUCCCUAGCCUAAUCAAUGAAAUUGAUCUUCCCGUGCAGAAGCGGAAAUAUAAAUAUAAGACGAGAAGACCCUGUGGAGCUUUAAACUCCAGCUAACAAUUAUAAAUGUUUAGUUCCAAGUUUUAGGUUGGGGCGACCAUGAGGUAUAAUAUAACCCUCACGACAUAAUCAAGAAGGACACUUCAAACAACUAACAUAACAUAUUGACCCAAUAAUUGAUCAACGAACCAAGUUACCCCAGGGAUAACAGCGCAAUCUACUCAAAGAGUCCAUAUCGACGAGCAGGUUUACGACCUCGAUGUUGGAUCAGGACCCCCAAGUAGCGCAACAGCUAUUAAAGGUUCGUUUGUUCAACGAUUAAAGUCCUACGUGAUCUGAGUUCAGACCGGAGCAAUCCAGGUCAGUUUCUAUCUAUAACCUAAUUUUUCUAGUACGAAAGGACCGAAAAAUUUAAGCCAAUAAAUAAUUUAAGCCUCACCAAAACCUCUGUACACAAAUCAAGAGGCUCAAGAAAUAUAAGUGU
rnacentral:rRNA from 1 species